UACGAAGGGGGCGAGCGUUGUUCGGAUUUACUGGGCGUAAAGGGCGCGCAGGCGGCUCAUUUUGUCAGGCGUGAAAGCCCCGGGCUUAACCUGGGAACUGCGUUUGAUACGGAUGGGCUAGAGUUCGGGAGAGGAGAGUGGAAUUCCCAGUGUAGAGGUGAAAUUCGUAGAUAUUGGGAAGAACACCGGUGGCGAGGGCGGCUCUCUGGACCGAGACUGACGCUGAGGCGCGAAAGCGUGGGGAGCAAACAGG
rnacentral:rRNA from 1 species